AUGCAUUAUACCGCCUCCAACGUCCGGGUUGAUGACUUCCGGAGCGAUUUCUGCUAUUGUUUUUAUCAUUAGCUUACUAGCUAUCUAAAUGUCGUUGAUGCAUUUCUGACUGAAAUAGUUUGCAAUGACUACGUUUAAAUUACAGCCCCACGAAGGAGGUGCUAAUGAACAUUGUUCAGUGCGUCUGUGUUCAGUUUCUUCCAAAUGGAAUGGUAUUGUGCGCUUCCAUAGUUUCCCGGUCGGUGUAGAGCUCAGAAAAAGGUGGUUGGUGGCAGUACGUCGUGACAACUUUACUGUCACCAAACACACAAAUAUGUGUUGUACACAUUUCGUUGAGUGACUUUGUUGAGGUAAACAUUAGGAAGUGACAAUACCUAAAAAGAGGUGUUGUUCCUACAGUCUUGGCGUGGAACUGGCACAUUCAAAAGAGACCUGGUGUUUGGGAAAGAAAAUGAAAAACCAUGAGCACGUAAGAGAAAUUUAGGAGCUUCGAGCCAAGCUGGAGAAACUGAUUGCCCAACACGGCUUUGGUCUACAGCGAUUUGCUGGUUCUGACGAGGAGAUACGUUUUUACACAAGAUGUGCAAGCUACACCCACCUGAUGGCCUUCUGGCACUUGUUUGAAGGGGCAGCAGAGACCAGGUUUAUAAGAGUCACAAGCACCAAUUCAUCUGAAACAAGUGUUACUUUAAGAAAACUGACACUGCCAUCAAUCGACGACCUCUUCUUGUUUAUGACUCAUCUGUCUCUGGGUCUGAAACAGAAGGAUUUGGCCCAUCGGUUCAGUAUCCACCAAUCGACAGUGAGCCGGAUUAUCAUCUCUUGGGCCAACUUCCUCUACUGUCUGCUUGGAUCAGCACGGAUAUGGAUCCCCAAGGAAACCAUCAAAGCCCACCUGCCACCUGAGUUCAAGGACUGUCCAGACACCCAGGUAGUGAUCGACUGCCAGACAACAUCUUCCCUACUACUGCAGAGUGAGGCGUUUUCUUCCUACAAGUCACACUGUACCUUUAAGGGCAUGUUGGGAAUGUCACCACAUAUGUGAGUGACAUGGAGAUCUUCAAGCAGUCUGGAAUUAUUUCCUUACUCACCCCUGACAUUGGCCAUUAUCCACCAUAAUGGCCUUCUCGUAGAUGACAUUGUUCCGUGCAAGGGCUACCGGACAGUCUUUCUGUCAAGACACACACAGAGGCCAGCGCAUGAGGUUAGGGAGACCCAGUCCAUUGCCAGGCUGAGAGUGCAUUUUGAAAGAAUGAUCCACAGAGUAAAGGAGCACAGGCUGUUUGACACAGUCACCCCGCUGACCAUCUCAGGCAGCAUCAACCAAUUAUUUGCAGUGGCGUGCCUGUUGGCCAACUAUCAAAACGGACCUUUGGUCAGAGCAUAGGCCAAGUCAGUGUAAAUGUACUUGUGUUUACUUGCUAGCAGCAAAAUAAUAAUUAGUUUAUCUACGACAUGUAUCAAUCAUUUGUGUUGUAGUGAACAUCAGUUUGUGUGGAGCUUCUAUUGGCUUUAAUUUGGCAAUGAGUUUAGGGGUGGGGGAAAGAAAUAAAGUCAACACAGAAUAGCCAGAAUGCAAGACUGAAUACAAUGUUAGAGAUGUGUAAUUGAUUAACUGAACUGUUGAACAUUUGCUGAAAUAAAUUUUUUUUAAACAAA